rnacentral:lncRNA from 1 species
CACAGACCAAAACCAUUCAGAGAAAGUACAAUUAAAAGAGUUAUACUUCAACAUGUAAUGGAAUCCCAUUUUGAUAUCAGAAUGAUGGGGUAACCCAAAUCGCGGGGGAUACAGGAUCAACACCAGAAAUGCCUUGAUUCAAGGAUUGAAUGGUUUCAUCUUCGAGAUUGUAAGCCCCUAUCUCUCUCGAAUCAUCUCCNNNN